rnacentral:rRNA from 1 species
GAUGAACGCUAGCGGCAGGCUUAACACAUGCAAGUCGAGGGGUAUAGGUUUUCGGACCUAGAGACCGGCGCACGGGUGCGUAACGCGUAUGCAAUCUACCUUUUGCAGAGGGAUAGCCCAGAGAAAUUUGGAUUAAUACCUCAUAGUAUUAUGAUUCGGCAUCGGAUUAUAAUUAAAGUCACAACGGCAAAAGAUGAGCAUGCGUCCCAUUAGCUAGUUGGUAUGGUAACGGCAUACCAAGGCUACGAUGGGUAGAGGUCCUGAGAGGGAGAUCCCCCACACUGGUACUGAGACACGGACCAGAUUCCUGCGGGAGGCAGCAGUGAGGAAUAUUGGUCAAUGGGCGCAAGCCUGAACCAGCCAUGCCGCGUGCAGGAUGACGGUCCUAUGGAUUGUAAACUGCUUUUGUACGGGAAGAAACACUCCUACGUGUAGGAACUUGACGGUACCGUAAGAAUAAGGAGCGGCUAACUCCGUGCCAGCCGCCGCCGUAAAAC